rnacentral:pre_miRNA from 1 species
AAAAGAGAGAGAGACAGAGGGAGAGAUGAAAAAGAGAGGCAGAGACAGAUCUGUCUCUGACUCUCUCUUUUUCAUCUCUCCCUCUGUCUCUCUCUCUUUUCA